AUGGUGGAAGAAUUUGAUGGGUCACAAAUAGAACUCAUCAAAAUUACUCUCGUCCCCAUCUCCAACCCCCUUCGCCCCGAGCCGAGCCGCCGCCUCCACCCCAACUCCAUAGCCUUCACCUUCCCCUCCGCCUCCCUAGCGCCGCCAUCUCCGCCCCAACUCCCGCUCACCCGCUGGCGCCGCCUCGUCCUCCACCUGCGCACACCCGCCGGUGAGAGGAGAAUGAGAGUGGCUGAGAGAGGGGAGUUCAAGAGGGGAGGGUUCGAGAGUGGGAGAGAGAGAGAUUGAGAGAGAUGGG
rnacentral:lncRNA from 1 species